ACGGGGGCUCGCAAGAGCAACCGGCGAACGGGUGCGUAACACGUGAGCAAUCUGCCGAUGUCUGGGGGAUAGCCGGCCCAACGGCCGGGUAAUACCGCAUACGUUCUCUUGUGGACAUCCACGGGAGAAGAAACCUCCGGGGGACAUCGAGGAGCUCGCGGCCUAUCAGCUAGUUGGCGGGGUAAUGGCCCACCAAGGCGGCGACGGGUAGCUGGUCUGAGAGGAUGGCCAGCCACAUUGGGACUGAGAGACGGCCCAGACUCCUACGGGAGGCAGCAGUGGGGAAUCUUGCGCAAUGGUCGAACGACUGACGCAGCGACGCCGCGUGUGGGAGGACGCCCUUCGGGGUGUAAACCACUGUUGCCCGGGACGAACCUCCUCUUUCGAGAGGACUGACGGUACCGGGUGAGGAAGCACCGGCUAACUCCGUGCCAGCAGCCGCGGUAAU
rnacentral:rRNA from 1 species